AGUGAACGCUGGCGGUAGGCCUAACACAUGCAAGUCGAACGGCAGCACAGUAAUAGCUUGCUCUUACGGGUGGCGAGUGGCGGACGGGUGAGGAAUACAUCGGAAUCUACUUUUUCGUGGGGGAUAACGUAGGGAAACUUACGCUAAUACCGCAUACGACCUACGGGUGAAAGCAUGGGAUCUUCGGACCUUGCGCGAUUGAAUGAGCCGAUGUCGGAUUAGCUAGUUGGCGGGGUAAAGUCCCACCAAGGCGACGAUCCGUAGCUGGUCUGAGAGGAUGAUCAGCCACACUGGAACUGAGACACGGUCCAGACUCCUACGGGAGGCAGCAGUGGGGAAUAUUGGACAAUGGGCGAAAGCCUGAUCCAGCCAUACCGCGUGGGUGAAGAAGGACUUCGGGUUGUAAAGCCCUUUUGUUGGGAAAGAAAAGCAGCAGGUUAAUACCACGAUGUUAUGACGGUACCCAAAGAAUAAGCACCGGCUAACUUCGUG
rnacentral:rRNA from 1 species